UGGUAGGCUGGAUUCCUGCAAGUGGUGCCUGAGCAGGGAACUGACCAGGGAAGAUUCACCAGGGAGGAAGGAGUAGUGAAUCACCAACGGAGUUCUGCAGUGGAGAUGAGCCAGCUGGCAAAGAAAUGAAAAUUUAAUCAUCCACUCUUCUGCCAAGUCCCCCACACCUGCCUUUCCAGCCAUCACGUGUUUUUCUGGCAUCACAUCUGGGAAUGGACAGUCACAGCCUUGCAGAUGAUCAGCUCACCUGACAAGAACUGGUACUGCAGUCGCACUGGGACCCAACCGGACCUUUUUGCUGCAGCAGAGGACACUGGAGGCAGGCCUCUUCUGAAGCCUGAGCAUGCUCGUGGCUGUGGCCACUGCAGCGAAAGGCAGUAUGUACGAUAUGUUUAAAGAGCAAAAACAGGGUGACCAAAAUGAGACCGAGGAUCAACAGAUCUUCACGGUUCAUCUCACCAACUUGCAAGAUGUGGAGUUAGAUUAGAAGGAAGCAGGAGUGAAGGGGCUCACCUGAGAAAAGUGUCCAGACUCACGUCGGCAGCAUGGAAAUCAUCCAACGCUGCAUGGUGGCCUUACAAAUAUCGCUUACUGUUCACAUUGCAGAAGUGCCAUUUGAAUGAAUACAACCUGCCGCCUAUGUUGCAAUAAAACACAUUUCAAACACAGCAAUCACUGAUUCCAAGGGGUGAGACCCUGGAGGAGCCCUGGAAGUGGAUUUCAAAUAAGGACAACAUUUUAGAACAUACAUCGUCUUGGUCAGGAAUCAGUCACUAAUUCAGCUAUUGAAUUAGUAAGUACAUCCCGGUGCUCCAACUUGGGGACUGAAACACAUGGGACAACAGAAGACAAGACCGUGAGUGCAGUGAUGGCAGAAAGGGAUCUGGGAGAGGAGAUAGCCCUGGAGACAGGGCUGGAGCCAGGCUUGGAAGAAUGGCUACCGUUUUGUUUCAAUGGAAUGAAAGUGCAAUCGAGUUUUGACACAGUGUCUGCUACACGGC
ensembl:lncRNA